rnacentral:lncRNA from 1 species
GUUAGACUUCUGUGAGCCGCAGCCCCGAAACUGAGGGCCCUGGAAAUGGGGGAUCUCCUGCCUUGACAGCUCAUCAGUACAUGUGAAAAGCCAACAAGAGUGGAUAUGAUAGGAACUGCAAUCACACAGCACUUUGGAGAGUGUGAAGAUUGGUGCUCACAGCAGAAGUUAACACACUGAUGCUGUGAUCACUGUUCAGUAAGUGGAAUGGUCCUUAGUGAUCCUUGAAGAGUAGCUGCAACUGGAAGACACAGAAUGGAGAGGAUGGAUCAUGCAAAUGAAAAGAUGGGCUCCAACAUUCAGCGGAAGGAACUUAUGGUUGGUUCCCCCGUUUUUUUGUUGGCGGUGGUGGUUUAUUUUCAUUCCCCAUGCCCGGUCCUUCUGAUGGCACUCACUGAUUUGGCUCUAGGGCACAAGUCUAUGUUGCAUGCAGUCCUGGUGUGACAAUCAAUUGAGGCAUUUCCUGGGCGAGGAGCUGGGACACGGGCCAAGCCAAUCAGACUCUGGUUCCCCCAGGACGCUGAGUCUUAGUGGAGCCAUGCCAAGAUGGAAACAGCUGACCUGCUGUGCUGCUGCCACGGCUCCCUGAGGAGUGUCCCUCAGUUCCUAAGAGGGGACUGUCUGCACGCUGGCUCUUACGGGUUGAUUUUGCACUUUUUCUUUGAUUCUGAGAGCUACCCACAUCCUCUCCAAUUCUUGCUCCAGUCAACCAGACACAGUUUCUAUUGCUUGCAGUGGAAGACAUGCCCAUGCAGAAGGCGUCAAGGCUCUUGGGAAGAUGGGGAGUGGCAUGUGUUCUCAUGGUGUUCACAGCUGCACGUGGGAAACACCUCAUUGCCUUUGCAUGACAAACCCAAGAGGGAGGGGGUUCCUUCCCCCAUUCUGCAAAUGGAAAAACUGAGGCUCAGAGGGGAAAUUGAUCGCUCAGUGUCAUAGCCAAUGAAUGACAGAGGGAAAGUUGUGGUCCAGGGCUGAGUCCGGGUUCCAUAGUGUAUAGAUGAAUUUCUUCAACCCCUUCAUCAUGUGAUGAGAGCCACAAGGUCUCCAGGCCUCCUGGACACGACAGGUGUUUGCUCACAAACUGAAACUUUCUCUGCUGGGUCACACCCUCCUUGCCCAUCCCUAUUCUUGGUGCAGGGCAUGAGCUGGACCCUGGAAGACCUAUGGGUAUUCAACUUUCAGAAAGCCUUGGCGAGGUCUAGUGAUGAAAUAAUUU